ensembl:lncRNA
GUAACUCUCAUUUAUAUUUACAGAGGAGCCUCAAUCAGACACCUUAGCAGAAGAAAACACCUUUGUGUUCUCACAAAGUCCAAUUUCCCAGUCUCCUCUUACUCGGACUCAAAGUCCUUCUGAUCAGUUUCAAUCAAUAGAAGAUUUUCUAGAAAACUACAAUGGUCGAAAGCCUCUUAUCGGUGAGUGUAUCUGCAUACUAUGUAAUCUAGCAAAAUAAUCACAUACAAAAGAUGAUGCAUUGAUUUAAAUUCACUGCACCAAACUGUGUGUGAGCAUGUUUGUCACAGGUCUACAAGCUGUUAUUAAGUGCCAGAGCGUGGAUGGGAAUCCACCUCCAUGCUGUUACCUGUGUCAGCUGUGCUCUUUGAAGCUGAAGAAGAAAAAAAUAUUCAGCCAUCUGACUGGCUGUGAUCACCAGCGAAACUACUUAAAAGCUCUCCAUCCACAGCUCUUGCCUAAAAAGCGUAAACACUGCAACACAAAUGAGAUGCUUGAGGAUAUUGCUAUCCAGCUGGAGAAAGAGGGUGGAAGAGGACAUAUAAAGGUGAUGAGGUUGUCUGCAUGUCUCAUAAGUGAGGUACUGGAAAAGGAUUAUCAUUGGUGUAAGUACAGCAGAUGAAAGCACAAUACAUAAUUGUUAUACUUCAUCAGUGAGGGACAAAACUGCCGCCUCACUAUAUUAUUUAUUAUAUGCAUAAUUUCUUUAUCAAAAGGCAUGAGGGUGUUGAACUGUGGAGCCGAGGUGGGGUGGAGAUCAGGUCUGUUGUCUUUCAAGGAAGGAACUAAAAACACUACAGGUCCCAGUCAUACUCUUAAACGGCCAGCAGAGUCUGUGCUGCCCCCUUCUGAUAACAACACCACUGGUCCCAGUCAGACUCUUAAACAUCCAGCAGAGUCUAUGCUGCCCCCUUCUGAUGCACGGGCUUUUAUAGCUCCUGCUGGAGCUCCAACCCAUCAGAUGUCCAAAAAAAUGAAGAAGGGUCAUCCUAAGAAAGUAGUAUGUACAAACAAAGUUAAGGAGCCUGUGUUUAAGGUAAGCCUGUCACUGCAGGAGGGACCUGUUAUCAUUGAGAGAACAUCUCUAAGAGAGACAACCACAGUGGCGCCUGAGAUCGAAGACCAAAGCCCUGCAUCCACAUGCGCAGACAAUGAUGCACUGCCUUUAGCGACUAACACGCAUUCUGAAGUUCAGAUGUGCUUUCACAGCUGUAUGUAUGAGGAACAGUUCACUAAUCCUGUUCAUUAUGCAUACUCAGGGCAGUUUGACCAGUCUCAAGUUAUUCAAUAUUUUGAGCCUUCUCUCAGACCUAGGGACUGUGGUCCAGUGGAUGAGGUGGUCACUGUCAGGUAUGCUGAUUGGCCGCUGCAGGACUGAUCCUGCAAUAACCAGUGGAUUGUAAUGAGGCAAAACGGAUGGAAGUCAUCUUCCUUCUGAGUGUGCAAGUUACAUGCAGUACUGAUGAGAAUGAGUCUUGAAGCAUCUACAAAAAAGAUGAAUCAACAAAAGAGAAGAUGCUGAGAAAUGAUUUGGCAACAGAAUUCUUUCCAAACUGUUUAUUUUAUUUAUUUUUUUUUUUUUUCUGUUCAGAAUUUAUUGGAUUUUUCAUCAGUAUUAUUCAUUUAACUUCCUCCAUCAAAAAUACAUUAUUUGUUAGUUACUUCCUGCC